rnacentral:lncRNA from 1 species
AGCGAAAAAAAGGUCGGCCACAACAAAUUAGGAUACUAUCACGAGGUGAAAAGAAGUUGCGCCGUAAGUGUGGUAGGUGUGGUUCUCGAGGACAUAAUCGACUAACUUGCAGUGCACCAAUCCCACUGUCUAACAAUGAGCCCGUAGUUAGACCGAAUGAAACAUAAACAAGCACAUGUACUACUAUUAACCUUAUAUACUUGUUAUUUUUUGUUGUUUAAUUUUUUUAAUGUCUUUCAUAUUUAGUGAUAAAUUUCUACCUUUUUGUUUCGCAGAUGAAUAACCGUGUUUGUGUGGCUUUCUAAGAAUAAGUAUUGAAGGGAGGCGACCAGAGGCUUAUAAAAUAUGGACCGAGUGUUUGGGUUGAAUAUGCCAAAAAUUUAUUAUGAAUGUUAAACAACUUCUAUUGUAUUACGACUUAUUUACGAUUUCAAUAAGUAUUGGAUUUAUGUUAUUUGAUAGGCAACCGGACUAUAGUUAGUUUCAUUUAUUUGAAGUUUGAUAUGUUAAAAUUUAUAUUGAUUAUGUCAUCAAUAUAAUGAAUGAUUGAA